AUUGAACGCUGGCGGCGUGCCUAACACAUGCAAGUCGAACGGAGUGGCGCACGGGUGAGUAAUGUAUAGCUAAUCUGCCCUACACUAGAGGACAACAGUUGGAAACGACUGCUAAUACUCUAUAGUGUAGGAUGAGGCUAUAAUGUAUCAGCUAGUUGGUGAGGUAAUGGCUGACCAAGGGUAUGACGCAUAACUGGUCUGAGAGGAUGAUCAGUCACCCUGUAAGUGAGGCACGGUUGAGACUCCUACGGCAAUGAGCGGUAGGGUAUAUUACUCAAUGGGGGUAUCCCUUGAGCAGCUACGCCGCGUGGAGUAUUAUAGGUUUCGGAGCGUAGACUCCUUUUGUUAGGGAAGCGGUACCUAACGAAUAAGCACCGGCUAACUCCGUGCCAGCCGCCGCGGUAAUAC
rnacentral:rRNA from 1 species